rfam:Schistosoma rodhaini strain Burundi genome assembly, scaffold: SROB_scaffold0002137
AUCCAGCUGACGAGUCCCAAAUGAUACGAAACGUGCUUUCUGGAU